UAUAGGAUUUUUGUUCAGAAAAUUCACCAUCCAAAAUCUCUGGCUGGUUUUGUUGUUAUUUAACUUAUUAAUCUUCUUUGAUAAUUUGACUUCUAUUAAUGCAUUGAAUCAGAAUACCAAUACUUCCCUAAUAUAAAGAUCAGAAAAAAGUGCAAUUUCAAUUACAAGAAGUUACAAAAAGAAAGAAAAGGAAUAACUUUGUAUAGAUCAAUAUCAGCCAAUACAAUCAAAAACCAUGAACAUAAGUCACACAAAAAUAAAUAAAUAAAUAAAU
rnacentral:lncRNA from 1 species